rnacentral:rRNA from 1 species
UUGACCUCGGAUCAGGUAGGGAUACCCGCUGAACUUAAGCAUAUCAAUAAGCGGAGGAAAAGAAACCAACAGGGAUUGCCCUAGUAACGGCGAGUGAAGCGGCAACAGCUCAAAUUUGAAAUCUGGCUCUUUCAGAGUCCGAGUUGUAAUUUGCAGAGGGCGCUUUGGCUUUGGCAGCGGUCCAAGUUCCUUGGAACAGGACGUCACAGAGGGUGAGAAUCCCGUACGUGGUCGCUAGCUAUUGCCGUGUAAAGCCCCUUCGACGAGUCGAGUUGUUUGGGAAUGCAGCUCUAAAUGGGAAGGUAAAUUUCUUCUAAAGCUAAAUAUUGGCCAGAG